rnacentral:rRNA from 1 species
AGCGUCAGCGGCGCUAACUCGGCGGAUCGUGCGUCGUCUCGGACUUCGGUCUUGGGACGCGUAAUCUUUCCAUGCCUUGUUUGGCGUCGUCGUCGUGCACUUCUCCCCUAGUAGAACGUCGCGACCCGUUGGGUGUCGGUCUACGGCCCGAGCGGUAGACUGUCGCGUCGCUUCGGCGCACGCGGCAGACCCUCGGUCACCCGGCCGGCUGCCCGGCGGUCGAACUUAUAAGGCAUCUUGCCGCAAUUAUCGAACUGCGUCGGGCCCGUCGCAAGCGAGGCCAGUGUCUUAC